UCAGUUCAGACUGCAGGCUGCAACUCGCCUGCACGAAGUCGGAAUUGCUAGUAAUCGCGGAUCGGCAUGCCGCGGUGAAUACGUUCCCGGGCCUUGUACACACCGCCCGUCACACCAUGGGAGCCGGUAAUACCCGAAGUCAGUAGUCCAACCUCGUGAGGACGCUGCCGAAGGUAGGAUUGGCGACUGGGGUGAAGUCGUAACAAGGUAAC
rnacentral:rRNA from 1 species